rnacentral:rRNA from 1 species
CCCCUAGAUGUUCUGGGCCGCACGCGCGCUACACUGAACAGUUCAACAAGUCUUAACCUUGGCCGAUAGGUCUGGGUAAUCUUUGAACGCUGUUCGUGAUUGGGAUAGACCUUUGCAAUUAUGGGUCUUCAACGAGGAAUUCCUAGUAAACGCAAGUCAUCAGCUUGCAUUGAUUACGUCCCUGCCCUUUGUAUACACCGCCCGUCGCACCUACCGAUUGAAUGGUCCGGUGAAAUCUCGGGACGGCGGCUUGGUCGCUUGCGUCCGACUGCUGAAACUUGAUUAAACCAUAUCAUUUAGAGGAAGGUGAANUCGUAACA